UCUGGUUGAUCCCGGCAGAGGCCACUGCUAUCGGAGUUCGAUUAAGCCAUGCGAGUUGAGAGGUGCAAGACCUCGGCAUACUGCUCAGUAACACGUGGACAACCUAACCUAUGGAGGGGGAUAACCCCGGGAAACUGGGGAUAAUACCCCAUAGACUAUGGAUGCUGGAAUGCUCUGUAGUUGAAAGGUCCGCCGCCAUAGGAUGGGUCUGCGGCCGAUUAGGUUGUUGUUGGGGUAACGGCCCAACAAGCCUGUAAUCGGUACGGGUUGUGGGAGCAAGAGCCCGGAGAUGGAUUCUGAGACACGAAUCCAGGCCCUACGGGGCGCAGCAGGCGCGAAAACUUUACAAUGCGGGAAACCGUGAUAAGGGAACUCCGAGUGCCCGUAAAAUCGGGCUGUCCAUCUGUUUAAAUAACAGGUGAAGAAAGGGCCGGGCAAGACCGGUGCCAGCCGCCGCGGUAAUACCGGCGGCUCGAGUGGUGGCCACUAUUACUGGGCUUAAAGCGUUCGUAGCUGGUCUGUUAAGUCUCUGGGGAAAUCUACUGGCUUAACCAAUAGGCGUUUCAGGGAUACUGGCAGACUAGGGACCGGGAGAGGUGAGAGGUACUCCAGGGGUAGGAGUGAAAUCCUGUAAUCCUUGGGGGACCACCCGUGGCGAAGGCGUCUCACCAGAACGGCUCCGACAGUGAGGGACGAAAGCUGGGGGAGCAAACCGGAUUAGAUACCCGGGUAGUCCCAGCCGUAAACGAUGCGCGUUAGGUGUAUCGGUGACCACGAGUCACCGAGGUGCCGAAGAGAAAUCGUGAAACGUGCCGCCUGGGAAGUACGGUCGCAAGGCUGAAACUUAAAGGAAUUGGCGGGGGAGCACCACAACAGGUGGAGCCUGCGGUUUAAUCGGACUCAACGCCGGGAAUCUCACCGGAUAAGACAGCUGUAUGAUAGUCGGGCUGAAGACUCUACUUGACUAGCUGAGAGGAGGUGCAUGGCCGUCGUCAGUUCGUACUGUGAAGCAUCCUGUUAAGUCAGGCAACGAGCGAGACCCA
rnacentral:rRNA from 1 species